GUCUAUGGCCAUGCCACCCUGAACAAGCCCGAUCCUGUCUGAUCUCGGAAGCUAAGCAGGGUUGGGCCUGGUUAGUACUUGAAUGGGAGACCACCUAGGAAGACCAGGUGCUGCAGGUA
rnacentral:rRNA from 1 species